GCGUCGGCUGGGCAUAGGUGAGCCCCCUUGACUGUAAAUCAAGCACUUCGGUUGUGUAGGUUCAAUUCCUACCCGGCGCACCA
rnacentral:tRNA from 1 species